rnacentral:rRNA from 1 species
GAUGAACGCUGGCGGCGUGCCUAAUACAUGCAAGUCGAGCGAACGGACGAGAAGCUCUCUUCUCUGAUGUUAGCGGCGGACGGGUGAGUAACACGUGGAUAACCUACCUAUAAGACUCGGAUAACUUCGGGAAACCGAAGCUAACACCGGAUAAUAUUUUGAACCGCAUGGUUCAAAAGUGAAAGACGGUCUUUCUGUCACUUAUAGAUGGAUCCGCGCUGCAUUAGCUAGUUGGUAAGGUAACGGCUUACCAAGGCAACGAUGCAUAGCCGACCUGAGUGGGUGAACGGCCACACUGGAACUGAGACACGGUCCAGACUACUACGGGAGGCAGCAGAAGAGAAUCUUCCGCAAUGGGCGAAAGCCUGACGGGGCAACGCCGCGUGAGUGAUGAAGGUCUUCGGAUCGUAAAACUCUGUUAUUAGGGAAGAACAUAUGUGUAAGUAACUGUGCACAUCUUGACGGUACCUAAUCAGAAAGCCACGGCUAACUACGUG